UGAGUUGAGGCUCAGUGGUAGAGCACUCACCAAGAACAUGCGAGGCCCUGGGUUCGAUCCUCAGCAACACAU
rnacentral:tRNA from 1 species